CAGUCGCCGCGGGAAUACGGAGGGUGCAAGCGUUAAUCGGAAUUACUGGGCGUAAAGCGCACGUAGGCGGUUAUUUAAGUCAGGGGUGAAAUCCCGCAGCUCAACUGCGGAACUGCCUUUGAUACUGGGUAUCUUGAGUAUGGAAGAGGUUAGUGGAAUUGCGAGUGUAGAGGUGAAAUUCGUAGAUAUUCGCAGGAACACCAGUGGCGAAGGCGGCUAACUGGUCCAUAACUGACGCUGAGGUGCGAAAGCGUGGGGAGCAAACAGGAUUAGAUACCCCAGUAGUCCCUGUCUCUUAUAC
rnacentral:rRNA from 1 species